GGAGAGAUGGCUCAGUGUUUAAGAGAACUGGAUGCUCUUCCAGAGGUCCUGAGUUCAAUUCUCAGCAACUUCA
rfam:Mus musculus chromosome 5, GRC primary reference assembly.